rnacentral:hammerhead_ribozyme from 1 species
CCACCAAAGAAGAGUCCCAGAAUGGGACGAAACAGAUGUCUAGUAC